UACGUAGGGUGCAAGCGUUGUCCGGAAUCAUUGGGCGUAAAGCGCGCGUAGGCGGCCCGGUAAGUCCGUUGUAAAAGUCAAAGGCUCAACCUUUGAAUGCCGAUGGAUACUGCCGGGCUAGAGUCCGGAAGAGGCGAGUAGAAUUCCUGGUGUAGCGGUGGAAUGCGCAGAUAUCAGGAGGAAUACCCAUAGCGAAGGCAGCUCGCUGGGACGGUACUGACGCUAAGGCGCGAAAGCGUGGGGAGCGAACAGG
rnacentral:rRNA from 1 species